rnacentral:rRNA from 1 species
GACCAUGGCUCAGGAUGAACGCUAGCGGCAGGCUUAACACAUGCAAGUCGAGGGGCAGCAUAAUGGAUAGCAAUAUCUAUGGUGGCGACCGGCGCACGGGUGCGUAACGCGUAUGCAACCUACCUUUAACAGGGGGAUAACACUGAGAAAUUGGUACUAAUACCCCAUAACAUCAUGAAAGGCAUCUUUUAUGGUUGAAAAUUCCGAUGGUUAGAGAUGGGCAUGCGUUGUAUUAG